UACGUAGGGGGCAAGCGUUGUCCGGAUUUAUUGGGCGUAAAGAGCGUGUAGGCGGCUUUACAGGUCCGUUGUGAAAACUCGAGGCUCAACCUCGAGACGCCGGUGGAAACCGUAAAGCUAGAGUCCGGAAGAGGAGAGUGGAAUUCCUGGUGUAGCGGUGAAAUGCGCAGAUAUCAGGAGGAACACCCGUGGCGAAAGCGGCUCUCUGGGACGGUACUGACGCUGAGACGCGAAAGCGUGGGGAUCAAACAGG
rnacentral:rRNA from 1 species